GACGUAGGGCGCGAGCGUUGUCCGGAUUUAUUGGGCGUAAAGAGCUCGUAGGCGGUUUGUCGCGUCUGCUGUGAAAACUCGGGGCUUAACCCCGGGCCUGCAGUGGGUACGGGCAGACUAGAGUGCGGUAGGGGGAGACUGGAAUUCCUGGUGUACGGUGGAAAUGCGCAGAUAUCAGGAGGAACACCGGUAGCGAAGGCGGGUCUCUGGGCCGAUUAACUGACGCUGAGGAGCGAAAGCGUGGGGAGCGAACAGG
rnacentral:rRNA from 1 species